rnacentral:lncRNA from 1 species
UAAGCGCCUUGCCAUGCACUUAGACAGUUUUUCCACGUCCAAUGCAUACAAUCAAUGCUCCUAAUCAUCCCAGAAAAAACCUCGCAUCCCGGCCUUCUUCAUAAGCCUUUCCAAGUCCAUGUGAGUAGGUUGCUAGAGGUACUCUGCGGUGUAGAUAGAUUCGAUUACUUUGCAAAACCUCAUCAGGGACUGAAGAAUGGUUGAUUUCCCUAUCCUCGCUAUCUCAUCCACUUGGUCUGCAGAUGCUUUAUACGCAAGCAUCCGCAGCG